AAUCCUGCAAAACAGGCCGAUUAACUGAGUGUGAACUGAGACCUCAGUGACCAGUUGAAUUUAUAAUAAUGUAUUUUACUCCUCAUGGGUUUGGGCUAGUAAGAAACAGACUUCUUCAGUAUCUGCUGAUGUCUUCAUUAAUCAACAAAUAUGAGUCUGAGAGAGAGAAUAAUGAAACUUUGUGGUUCUGUGGAAGAAAAUCUAAGGCAAUCACCAUUUGCAUUAUCCGUUAUUCCAUAUGUUGUUGCUUUGUAUGGAAUUUGUUUCACCUCUCACUGUGUAUUGGCUGACUGUGAAACAAAUUCAAGUAACUAGGAACAACUGGGUCAUCGUAUAUGACCUGCAGUAUAUUCUGGUUUUGGAAACUUUACAGAUUCAGGAGCAAUCCAACAGAAACCUGUCUCUGGGAUUCUUAGAAGCUUUAUGCAAGCGAGAAGCAAACGCAUAUUGUCCUCCUCUGGCUUUUCUGAGCUCUGCUCAGAGCUGUCCAUUUGCUGGGUGGACUCUGCUGAGUUGAACUGGCUGCAGAAGUAGCAACAAGCUGAGUUUGCAGCAGUGUUUGAUCAGGAUAGUGGUGAUGUUAGUAUGAGAAAGGAGCCACUGUGCAGGUCCUGUUUUGUUCUAUAGGGUUUAUAAUACCUCAGCACAAUGGUUCAGGGUGCACAAGUGACUGCAAGAGACUGUAAUGAAUAUGAAUAUUCUCAGAAGCAGAAACUGUCCUCUCGCAGUUAAUAAUAAGCAAUAAAGUGUGAUUUUUAACAGUAUUCUGGGAGUAAGCAUGGGAAUUCUGGGAAUAUACCUUGCUUAUGGUCUCUUGUUUUUCUAAGGAUAGACACCCCUUUGCAUGCAUCAAUAUUGCGCUUGCUAUCAGGGAAAGGUGAAAGAUGAGUUAUCAAUGCAACUCAGUUGUUUGAAGCCUUCAGUAAAGCAGAGAUUACUGUACCUAAAUACAAUGCUAUAAGAAAAAGCCUUCUAGCUUACUUGCUAGAAGUCAUGAUUUUAUAUGUUACAGCAUUGAAGAGGAAGGUUCAUUGCUGCCAGUGUCACUGUGCCUCUGUGAGGUGAAAAAAACAAGGACAUGUCUCAAUAGGAUAAAGACAUUCAGUGAGAUUCUUUUUCAUUUCUUUUUCUGAUGCAAACUCAUAACUGAUCUUUAUGCUGAGUUUGUCCUAUGCACGUGGAUUGUUUGUGCUUUAGGUUUUCUGUACCUCUGCAGACUGCGAGGCGUAUAUUACAUCUGUUCAGUUGUGUACCUACGUGGAUCAUAUUCAACAUGUAUUCCCUGUGGACAGCACAAGUACACAAAUGUACAUAUUUGCUUGGGAUUUUUGAGCUACUGCUCUGACUAGGAUAUGGUGUAUUAGAAAUCCUGGGCAAAUGCCUGAAGCUAUUGUUUAUCUGCCCAGACAACGUUUAUGUGUCUUAGAAAAAAGUCACAUCUAUGGAACUGCAGACUUAGGUUACCCCUGAGUAUUAGAAAUGACAUUAUUGCCUAAGACACCUACUAGUAGUAAAAUGAAUCUGACCUGUUGCUUUGCAAUAUGAGCCCAGUUCUUACAUGCAUGAAAAAAAGCAAGCAGAAGGUGGCAGUGCUGCUGUAUGUAGGUUUUUUUUCUACACUGCAAAACAAGUAACUUCAUUUGAGCUAGAGAGAUGAGAUUAGAGGUCACUCUUCCAGCUAAUGGAAGCUCAGGAAUGCAUCAUUUUAAGAAACAACUUAAAUCUGAUCUUCAUGAAAUUAGACAUCAAUGCUACCUGUACUUUUCACUCUGUCUCAUUGGAAAAUUGUUUCAACUGCAAAGUUAAUAUUCAAAAUUGAAUUAUUCAGAAAUCAGUUGUUUUAUACUCAUCUGUAACUAACCAUGAUGUGCUUUAUUACAGACGUACUGGAAAACCUGAACACCAAGACUAUAAUGAUUGAGCAGCAUUUUCUAACCCAGCAGAAAUGGUUGUACCUGUGGGUCUAUCAGCUAGUGGUGCAGAAAGAAAACAUGCUUCUUACUAACAGGGAAGAUUUCUGUGCUGUGGCUUCAGAUCUGAAAGAGGUACUGUAGCAAGCCAGCCCUCAGGAAGCUUUUUGGAAAAUGGAAUUAUACACAUAUUAUGAGGACUCAAAACAAAAUUCCCUUUACAUAAUGAGGUAAAAUUUCCUUUUUCUAUUCCGUAACUCAUAGCAUCAGUACUUUUGGUGCACUUCAGUGCCAGUUACCCCUUUUUCCUAGUAAAAUAUUCAGACGUAUAGUUCUAAAUUUCUCUUUAAAGAUACCGGACCUCUAUACUAACCAUAAAGCCUCCCUACUCUCACUUUAUUAUAAAACUGUUGCUGAUGUCAUUUCUCACUCUCUAGACAAUAUUUGAACUAAACAACAUUACUCAGGACCUCUUGUUGGAUAUUUGGUAUUCUUUUAAAAAGGUUUAGUGAAGAGACGUUUACAAAAAAAGAGAACAAAGUUUCUGAAGCUGUUGAAUAGGAAAAAACACAACAACCAGACAUUGCUCUACUGUAUUCUUCUGAAAAAGAUCCAAGAUCCCUCUGUCCUUUCAGUGGUGCCGUAAUGCUUUACUCACAGUCUGUGUCUAGAAAUCAUGCUCUUUAGAGAGGGGAAAAAAAGGACAGUAGGAGCUCGAUUUUCCUACCAGCACAAAAAAAUUGCUCUCUGUUUGUUUGCUCUGCAUAGUGACUACUCAGUUACAAUAAAGUUUUGUCAGGUGUGCCUUUGGAA